UGCAAGUCGAACGAGAAAUCUCGAGCUUGCUCGGGAGAGUAAAGUGGCGCACGGGUGAGUAACGCGUGGGUAACCUGUCCUUAAAUUUGGGAUAAUCCACCGAAAGGUGGCCUAAUACCAAAUACAGUCCAAGGAACCAAGGUUCUUUGGAUGAAAGCUGACCUCUUCAUGAAAGUUGGCGUUUGAGGAGGGGCUCGCGUACCAUUAGCUUGUUGGUAGGGUAAUGGCCUACCAAGGCUACGAUGGUUAGCUGGUCUGAGAAGAUGGCCAGCCACACUGGAACUGAAACACGGUCCAGACUCCUACGGGAGGCAGCAGUGAGGAAUCUUGCGCAAUGGGGGAAACCCUGACGCAGCGACGCCGUGUGAGUGAAGAAGGCCUUCGGGUCGUAAAGCUCUGUCAAGUGGGAAUAAAGUCCCUCGGUGAAUACCCGAGGGAUCUGAAGGUACCACUAAAGGAAACACCGGCUAACUCCGUGCCAGCAGCCGCGGUAAUACGGAGGGUGCAAGCGUUAUUCGGAUUUAUUGGGCGUAAAGAGCGUGUAGGCGGUUGGGAUAGUCAGACGUGAAAGCCUUCUGCUCAACAGAAGAAGUACGUCUGAAACUGCCCAACUUGAGUACGAGAGAGGAAAGUGGAAUUCCCAGUGUAGAGGUGAAAUUCGUAGAUAUUGGGAGGAACACCUGUGGCGAAGGCGACUUUCUGGAUCGAUACUGACGCUGAGACGCGAAAGCGUGGGUAGCAAACAGGAUUAGAUACCCUGGUAGUCCACGCUGUAAACGAUGGGAACUAGGUGUAGCGGGUAUUGAUCCCUGCUGUGCCGAA
rnacentral:rRNA from 1 species